rnacentral:rRNA from 1 species
UACGAAGGGGGCUAGCGUUGUUCGGAAUUACUGGGCGUAAAGGGCGCGUAGGCGGUGUGUCAAGUCAGGCGUGAAAGCCCCGGGCUCAACCUGGGAAUUGCGUUCGAUACUGGAUAGCUAGAGUUCGGCAGAGGGAAGCGGAAUUUCCGGUGUAGCGGUGAAAUGCGUAGAUAUCGGAAGGAACAUCAGUGGCGAAAGCGGCCUCCUGGACCAGAACUGACGAUCAGGCACGAAAGCGUGGGGAGCAAACAGG